GACGUAGGGUGCAAGCGUUGUCCGGAAUUAUUGGGCGUAAAGAGCUCGUAGGCGGUCUGUUACGUCGGCUGUGAAAACCUGGGGCUCAACCCCGGGCCUGCAGCCGAUACGGGCAGACUAGAAUUCGGUAGGGGAGACUGGAAUUCCUGGUGUAGCGGUGAAAUGCGCAGAUAUCAGGAGGAACACCGGUGGCGAAGGCGGGUCUCUGGGCCGAUAUUGACGCUGAGGAGCGAAAGCGUGGGGAGCGAACAGG
rnacentral:rRNA from 1 species